GUGCCCUCACAAAGCUCUCUGUGCUUCCAGGGAAGUACCUCCGACAAAAGAGAAUCGACUUCCAGCUGCCCUACGACAUCCUCUGGCAGUGGAAGCACAACCAGUUGUAUAAAAAGCCAGAUGUCCCACUUUAUAAAAAAAUCCGUUCCAAUGUCUACGUGGAUGUCAAACCUCUCUCUGGCUACGAGGCCACCACCUGCAAUUGUAAGAAACCAGAGGAUGACAGCGGGAAGGGCUGUGUGGAGGAUUGUCUG